GAUGAAGAACGCAGCGAAAUGCGAUAAGUAAUGUGAAUUGCAGAAUCCAGUGAAUCAUCGAAUCUUUGAACGCACAUUGCGCCCGCCAGCAUUCUGGCGGGCAUGCCUGUUCGAGCGUCAUUUCAACCCUCGUCCUCCCCUUGGGGAGGUCGGCGUUGGGGACCGGCAGCACACCGCCGGCCCUGAAAUGGAGUGGCGGCCCGUCUGCGGCGACCUCUGCGUAGUAAUACAGCUCGCACCGGAACCCCGACGCGGCCACGCCGUAAAACACCCAACUUCUGAACGUUGACCUCGAAUCAGGUAGGACUACCCGCUGAACUUAAGCAUAUCAAUAAGCGGAGGA
rnacentral:misc_RNA from 1 species